CCAAUAGCGUAUAUUAAAGUUGUUGCAGUUAAAAAGCUCGUAGUUGAAUUUCGGGGUUAGUAGAUUGGUCAUGCCUCUGGUAUGCACUGGUCUUACUGAUUCCUCCUUCCUGAUGAACCGUAAUGCCAUUAAUUUGGUGUUGCGGGGAAACUGGACUGUUACUUUGAAAAAAUUAGAGUGUUUAAAGCAGGCUAACGCUUGAAUACAUUAGCAUGGAAUAAUGAAAUAGGACGUUCGAUCUUAUUUUGUUGGUUUCUAGGAUUGACGUAAUGAUUAAUAGGGAUAGUUGGGGGCAUUAGUAUUCAAUUGUCAGAGGUGAAAUUCUUGGAUUUAUUGAAGACUAACUACUGCGAAAGCAUUUGCCAAGGAUGUUUUCAUUAAUCAAGAACGAAAGUUAGGGGAUCGAAGACGAUCAGAUACCGUCGUAGUCUUAACCAUAAACUAUGCCGACUAGGGAUCGGAUGAUGUUAAUUUUUUAAUGACUCAUUCGGCGCCUUACG
rnacentral:rRNA from 1 species